rnacentral:tRNA from 1 species
GCAGGUGUCGUAUAAUGGCUAUUAUGUCUGCCUUCCAAGCAGAAAAUGAGAGUUCGAUUCCCUCCACCUGCACCA